GAUGAACGCUGGCGGCGUGCUUAACACAUGCAAGUCGAACGGUGAAAGAGAGCUUGCUCUCUGGAUCAGUGGCGAACGGGUGAGUAACACGUGAGCAAUCUGCCCCUGACUCUGGGUUAAGCGCUGUAAACGGCGUCUAAUACCGGAUACGAGCUGCGAAGGCAUCUUCAGCAGCUGGAAAGAACUUCGGUCAGGGAUGAGCUCGCGGCCUAUCAGCUAGUUGGUGAGGUAACGGCUCACCAAGGCGUCGACGGGUAGCCGGCCUGAGAGGGUGACCGGCGACAAUGGGACUGAGAGACGGAGCAGACUGCAACGGGAGGCAGCAGUGGGGAAUAUUGCACAAUGGGCGAAAGCCUGAUGAAGCAACGCAGCGUGAGGGAAGAAGGCCUUCGGGUUGUAAACAUAAUUGAGCAGGGAAGAAGCGAAAGUGACGGUAACUGAAGAAAAAGCGCCGGCUAACUACGUG
rnacentral:rRNA from 1 species